AAACUUGUAUGUGAACAGGAGCAAAACUGGAGUACUGCCUUUGGAACGGUGGCGUGAUUAAAGGAGCCUUCUAAAAGCUCGAGUUUCACGACUACCAUUUGCUUCAUUAACAGCAGUAACUUCUUGGGGAUAAAGCUUGCUUGAAAUGCCAAUCUACCCGUGCACUCGAGUACUGGGUUAUAAGCUUUGUGGGAGCGGAACUUUGGCAUGUCUUGUAAACCAGGCACUUAAUAAGCGUUGGAUGAGGAUAAUGAAGAUGCGCCUGCAGAUGUUGACCUUUCCCGGACCAAACACCUUCCAGACUUUGUCAUUUUCUACUCCUGAGUUAAGAAUUGGAGACACUGGAAGCCAAGACCCUCCGGCCGCCAUGUGCCAUCACGAAGCUGCGGAUGAACCGGCAAUUAAAACUUGCAAACUCCUCGGCUCUGUCUCGGAGGCUUCCGCCCGAUCUCUUCUCACCUCUAUUCUCAGAAUGGCUGAAGACUGGAACUGAGGAGGCCACUGAAUGAGACAAAGAGAAAAAAGCUGGACCGUUAGUGACAUCCUUUGAAUACUGCAUCAAGCCACACCUGAACUUGUUGCUAUCUGGUAUGCGUGUUAUAACUACUAGUCACUUGAUUAUCAUCUGUUUGGACUGAACUCUAAAUACCAUUGCCUUUUCAGCUCCAGAGAGUGCCAUAGUGUUGCCUGAAGCUUGCAGGCCUGCACCACUGCCUCACUUCUCCCUCUACCCAGGACUGCUUUUCUCUUACACGGAGGUUGAGCCCAAGGGCACAGGAUAACAAGAAUACUGCACAGGAAACUCUAUAAUAUUCUUCCUGGAGAACCCAAAACCAUGACAGAGAUGGCUGUUUUUUGGAUUUUCCAUGGGUUUACCUCCAAUCACAAUAAAACAAAACAGAAGAAUUGUAUUGCCCUUUAA
rnacentral:lncRNA from 1 species